rnacentral:lncRNA from 1 species
AUGCAUGAAUUGGCGAGUUUAGCUGCAAAUAAAGGUCAAGAAAUGAGUUUUCCACCACCUCCACCAGAGCUCACGAAUAAUCGAAAUCACCCAAAGGUCAGUAGCAGAUUCACUGGAAUCAGAAUUUUGAGGCACGCUAGCAUCUUGAUCUGUUGUACCUCGGUCUUUUGUACUUAGCUCAGUUGUAGCUUGACUGUGAGUAACAUCAUGUAAAAUAAGAUCUUUACCCUCUCUUAUCAUGCUUUCGAUCGUUUUUAAUGAGUCUACGUACUUAUGAAACUGAGAAGUGCCGUGAUUUGAGGCGAGAGAUGCAAUUUGCAAGGCAAGGGGUAGGAUCAAAUUGUAUUUAUGGCGGACAUCUAAGGAUUCUGUAUUGACAUUUUCCUCGGCAUAAUCCUCGUCGAAACCCUGUAAGAACGUUUCUACCUCUCGGAAUUCAACUUUUGAAUAGAUUGAAUUUUUUCUCAAGUACCGAUCAUGAAUGAAAGAUGGAUGAAGUAAUGGUAAAUAUUCAUUCUCAUGCUUGAGAAGGAUAUGGUGGCAAGGAGUUGGAUAAUCACAUUGAGGAACUGUCGUUGCAUAGACUUUGACAUGAUUCUAUUCAUAAGUCUUUUUGAUGCCCUCACUGUGUACCUUCAGAUUACUUCUCCACGUCUGUAAUGCUUUUAGGCUACUGUGAAACAAGACGCAGCCUCGCUCAUUCAAACAAAGGGACGCUUCCUCGUUCAAUGCCCUGAUCUGCGGGCCAGCAUCGUUGAUUUUUAGAGACUUCAAAGUGCCUUGGGUUGCGGCACUAUUGACGUGAUUCUCACAAGAGGUGGUCAAAUGGAUAACACUGAUCUCAAUCGGGGGCAGAGAAGGAAAUCUAUUUUUGAUACUGGAUUUCAGUGUCCAAAAGGAUCUCUCCACCCUGUUGUUAGUGUUGUCACCAAGUGUUGGGAGGCGGCAUCUAUAAUGUUGUAUCCACAUAGGCUUCCACUCCUCACUAUCCCAGUUUCUUAAA